GCUUUCAACCUUGACCAGAGGUUUUCAUAAUGAAUGCAGCAUCCCUGGGGAGUGAUCUGAAGCUGGCGAGGCAAUGAGAACACCCUGGCAGGGCAGCUGAGCUGGGUGGAUCCUUGUUCUGUCACCAAGCCUUUAAGUCAUAUGCUGACAUGUUACAGUCCUGCCUGGGACCCUGCCCACAAAUACUUAAGAUACACGACUUUGGGAAUCACCCAACUGAUGGAAAGAACCAGGAAAGGGGUCAGGAUCUGCACCUUGGCAAACUUUGAAGAACACCCAAUUUGAUGAAUGAAAACUCCUCACUUGUGCUCUGGUGGUGUUUUAGGACAAUGGGCCCCUCCUGGGUGACCAACUGUCAUUAACUUUGGAUGUUUUUCCUGGAGGAGGAGAAUGUGCAGGAAUGAGAAGAAAAUACCAUCAGAAUCAUGUGGACCCACAUUCAUCCCUUACUUCACCCCUUCUGGGAAGGAACCCAGCAGGCUCAAAGAUAUGGAAAAUGCCACCAGAAAAACAGUACCUGGGACAGAGGGUUAACCUGACCAUUGUGGGA
rnacentral:lncRNA from 1 species